CACAUCAGUGUCGUCUGCAUUUCGUUUUGUUUCGAAAAAAAGUUUCGAAAAAAAUUACAAAAUUGUGGUCACACUCCACGCAGUUAAACAGAUUUUAGGCCUGAUUAAGUCAUCAUCACUACAAUAUCUACCAGCUUAUUUGCUUGUGCUGGUGUUGCCCUGUCAUCUGCAACAAUCUCAUCAUCAUCGCUUGGAACAGCAUCCUGUUUGAUUGCAGAAUUCCCCCAUCUUUAAAUAUCCUCUGUCCUUGUGUACACCCAUGUGUGUGUGGGUGUAUUCAUGAGGACCCCCUUUUUCCCUAUCCUGCCUGGUGUGUUCAACUCUUCAGCGAAUGGAUGAAGCACUUGUGGAUGCCUGGCUGUAUUUCCCAGGCUUAAAGGCGCAGCAGUACCGGCGUGUGGGGGCUCUAUGGCAUCGCGGAGACUGUGGGAAGAAGAUGAGGAGAUUAUCGCAAAGUAAAAGUCGAACACACACAAGAAGUUUUAUACACCGCGCGCCGCUUCUGUUUGAAUUGCUGGGGGAUUUUCUUCUUUUGCAUCUGCUAGCUGCUCUGCUGUGUGCCAUGAUAUUCCCAUUGGUCCUAUAUUAGUUGAUGUCCCUGUGCGCAUUCGUGUUCAUCCUCCUGUGUGUUUUGUGUCCAAACAGCCAGGCAAACAUCAUCCCCCGCGCAGCACGGAAGGAAAGCAGCCGAAUUGCUAUAUGAUGGUCAUUCAGUCCCAGCAGCACAGCAGCGGCAAGGAUUUUCUCCUUCAUUAGCUAUCGCGGCCGUUAUUGUUGUUCCGUCUCUUUCUCUCUCUAGUCUGUUUUCCUCCACGCUGGCUUUUUUCUUCCGCCAACAAAAGCAACACUGUUAUAUUUUUUUUUCUCUCUAUGCGCUUCUUCUUCCUCAUGAUGAUGAUGUGGCCCUGUAUAUUAUGUAUAUAGUAGAGCUGAUUCAGCCGGUUUGGCAGCUCCGGCUGCGUGGGAGGGCGGAGUAUAUAUCAACACAAACGUGAAAACAAGAUAUUAUUUUCUAUACAUACCAAGCCAGCAUUUUUCUUUUACGUGAUAUACUCUAUAAGCUUUAAGGGGGGUGGGAGAAAAGUCUACAUGGUGUAUAUAAGAAUGGGCGGCCACGCGACGAAAACCGUGACGUGAAGACGGACGGACAUACGCGGAUCAUUCCGUAAAUAGCCCCGGAACGCACAUCAGGAUGCGGAAUAUAGUAUGCGGAAAAGAUUUUCAAUUAGAUAUAGACCGACGGGGAGGGAUAUUGUAUAAUAGCCAUUCGAUCUGCCUGUUAAAUGUUUGCUUGCGCAGCGGAUGAUGUGAUGAUGACGUUGUCGAUCGACUUGAUCCCAACAAUGGCGGGCUAUUUAAACAUUCAUAUUUUCUGGAUGAGAAUCUAUUAGCUUUAUACACAAGGCGUUUGAUUGUGAUAUUUUAAAUUGACGGGUGGAUGAGGGGAGUUUUUGAAAGUACUUGAAUAUUAUUAUCAAGUGAGUAUUUAGAGAAAGCUGUACGUUUAUUAUACGUGUGAGAGACAGACCACCCUUAUUACUCUUGUGCGCACUGGGGGUUUGUAGAACGUACGU
rnacentral:lncRNA from 1 species